CCCGUUUGAGAAUCUGGACUCUUCAGAACUCACUUCACAAAACCCAGUGAUCAGCAGUCUUCAGUUUCAAAGAGUUUCCAGUACAGAUUUACACAAAACUGCAGGACGUCCUUCAACCACAUCAGCAGCAUCCAAACCAAUCAGCCUAUCAGCUCUUCCUCUGAUUUUCGGUGGAGUUGCCACGGCGACUGGCGUCUCAAUAGCCGCUUUUCUAAUUCUGCUUUACAAAUGGAGGACGAGAGCCA